rnacentral:rRNA from 1 species
AGUGAACGCUGGCGGUAGGCCUAACACAUGCAAGUCGAACGGCAGCACAGUAAGAGCUUGCUCUUACGGGUGGCGAGUGGCGGACGGGUGAGGAAUACAUCGGAAUCUACUUUUUCGUGGGGGAUAACGUAGGGAAACUUACGCUAAUACCGCAUACGACCUACGGGUAAAAUCAGGGGAUCUUCGGACCUUGCGCGAUUGAAUGAGCCGAUGUCGGAUUAGCUAGUUGGCGGGGUAAAGGCCCACCAAGGCGACGAUACGUAGCUGGUCUGAGAGGAUGAUCAGCCACACUGGAACUGAGACACGGUCCAGACUCCUACGGGAGGCAGCAGUGGGGAAUAUUGGACAAUGGGCGAAAGCCUGAUCCAGCCAUACCGCGUGGGUGAAGAAGGCCUUCGGGUUGUAAAGCCCUUUUGUUGGGAAAGAAAAGCAGCAGGUUAAUACCCCGCUGUUCUGACGGUACCCAAAGAAUAAGCACCGGCUAACUUCGUG